CAGCCGCCGCGGUAAUACGUAGGUGGCAAGCGUUGUCCGGAAUUAUUGGGCGUAAAGGGCUCGCAGGCGGUUUCUUAAGUCUGAUGUGAAAGCCCCCGGCUCAACCGGGGAGGGUCAUUGGAAACUGGGAAACUUGAGUGCAGAAGAGGAGAGUGGAAUUCCACGUGUAGCGGUGAAAUGCGUAGAGAUGUGGAGGAACACCAGUGGCGAAGGCGACUCUCUGGUCUGUAACUGACGCUGAGGCGCGAAAGCGUGGGGAGCAAACAGGAUUAGAUACCCCAGUAGUCCCUGUCUCUUAUAC
rnacentral:rRNA from 1 species